rnacentral:rRNA from 1 species
UACAGAGGUCUCAAGCGUUGUUCGGAUUCAUUGGGCGUAAAGGGUGCGUAGGCGGCGCGGUAAGUCGGGUGUGAAAUCUCGGAGCUUAACUCCGAAACUGCAUUCGAUACUGCCGUGCUUGAGGACUGGAGAGGAGACUGGAAUUUACGGUGUAGCGGUGAAAUGCGUAGAUAUCGUAAGGAGGACCAGUGGCGAAGGCGGGUCUCUGGACAGUUCCUGACGCUGAGGCACGAAGGUCAGGGGAGCAAACGGG